GCCCCAGUGGCGCAAUGGAUAGCGCGUCGACUUCUAAUCCGGAGGUUGAGGGGUUCGAGUCCCUCCUGGGGGU
rnacentral:tRNA from 1 species